UACGAAGGGGGGCUAGCGUUGCUCGGAAUUACUGGGCGUAAAGGGAGCGUAGGCGGAUAUUUAAGUCGGGGGGUGAAAGCCCAGGGCUCAACCCUGGAAUUGCCUUCGAUACUGGAUAUCUAGAGUAUGGGAGAGGUGUGUGGAACUCCGAGUGUAGAGGUGAAAUUCGUAGAUAUUCGGAAGAACACCAGUGGCGAAGGCGACACACUGGCCCAUUACUGACGCUGAGGCUCGAAAGCGUGGGGAGCAAACAGG
rnacentral:rRNA from 1 species